AUGGAUUAGAGUGCCCUCAAGAAAUCAAGGACAAUACCAAAUUUUGGCCCUACUUUAAGGAUUGCAUAGGAGCAAUUGAUGGGUCACAUUUUCGUGUAAAAGUGUCAAAUGAUGUUGUACAAAGGUAUCGAGGGCAAAAGUACUAUCCAACACGAAAUGUUUUAGCAGUAUGUUCCUUUGACUUGAAGUUCACAUAUGUUUUACCUGGUUGGGAAGGAUCUGCGUUAGACUCGAGAAUCCUAGAUAAUGCAUUAGUGAGAGAUUUUGAUAAAUUGAUUGUUCCACAGGGUAAAUAUUAUUUGGCUGAUGCGGGUUUUCAGCUAAAAACUGGAUUUCUUACCCCAUAUAGAAGCACUCGUUACCAUUUAAAAGAGUAUAGUGUUCAUCAACUAGAAAAUGCUCGAGAGGUUUUCAACCUUCGACACUCGUCCUUGAGAAAUGCAAUUGAAAGAGCAUUUGGUGUUUUGAAGAAAAAGUUUCCAAUAAUAGCUAGUGGGACGGAGCCACAUUACCCUAUUGACACACAAUCUGAUAUUAUACUAGCAUGUU